rnacentral:rRNA from 1 species
UGGGGAAUAUUGGGCAAUGGGCGAAAGCCUGACCCAGCGACGCCGCGUGGGUGAUGAAGGCCUUCGGGUUGUAAAGCCCUGUCAUGCGGAAAGAACGACCCUGAGACGCAUACUCUCAGGGAGUGACGGUACCGCAGGAGGAAGCACCGGCUAACUCCGUGCCAGCAGCCGCGGUAAUACGGAGGGUGCAAGCGUUGUUCGGAAUUAUUGGGCGUAAAGGGCGCGUAGGCGGUAAUGUAAGUCAGAUGUGAAAUACUCCGGCUCAACCAGAGAACAGCAUCUGAAACUGCAUAACUAGAGUACAGAAGAGGGAAACGGAAUUCCCGGUGUAGAGGUGAAAUUCGUAGAUAUCGGGAGGAACACCAGUGGCGAAGGCGGUUUCCUGGUCUGAUACUGACGCUGAGGCGCGAAAGCGUGGGGAGCAAACAG